AUGAGGGCGGCCGGGGCAGCCGUGGCGCUGCUCUUCUUCCUCUUCCUGGCCGCGGCGGCCGAGGCGGCGGCGCUGCCGAGGUUCGCGGAGGCGCCGCAGUACCGGAACGGGGAGGGGUGCCCGGCGUCGACAGCGGCCGGCGUGUGCGACGCGGGCCUGGUGCACAUAGCCAUGACCCUCGACGCGCACUACCUGCGGGGCUCCAUGGCGGCCAUCUACUCGCUGCUCAAGCACGCCUCCUGCCCGCAGUCGCUCUUCUUCCACUUCCUGGCGGCGGCGCCGGGCGACGGCGAGCUGCGCGCCGCGCUGGCGGCCUCCUUCCCGUCCCUGCGGUUCGAGAUCUACCCGUUCCGCGCCGAGGCCGUGGCCGGGCUCAUCUCGGCCUCCGUGCGCGCCGCCCUCGAGGCGCCGCUCAACUACGCGCGGAACCACCUCGCCGACCUGCUCCCGCCCUGCGUGCCCCGGGCCAUCUACCUCGACUCCGACGUCCUGGCCGCCGACGACGUGCGCCGGCUCUGGGAGACCCGCCUCCCCGCCGCCGCCGUCGUCGCCGCGCCCGAGUACUGCCACGCCAACAUCUCCCGCUACUUCACGCCCGCCUUCUGGUCCGACCCGGCGCUGGGCGCGCGCGUCUUCGCGGACCGCCGCCGCCCGCCCUGCUACUUCAACACCGGCGUCAUGGUCAUCGACCUCCGCCGCUGGAGGGCCGGCAACUACCGCCGCCGGAUCGAGCGCUGGAUGGAGAUCCAGAAGGAGAAGCGCAUCUACGAGCUGGGCUCGCUGCCGCCGUUCCUGCUGGUCUUCGCCGGCGAGGUGGAGGCCGUCGACCUCCGCUGGAACCAGCACGGCCUCGGCGGGGACAACGUGCACGGCAGCUGCCGCCCGCUCCACGACGGGCCCGUCAGCCUGAUGCAUUGGUCGGGCAAGGGCAAGCCGUGGGACCGCCUGGACGCCGGCAGGCCCUGCCCGCUCGACCACACCUGGAAGUCCUACGACCUCUACAUCGCCGGGGACGGAAGCAGCGCCGCCUCGCCAGCCUCCGGGCCGGCAUUGUCCGCCUGGUAG
rnacentral:rRNA from 1 species